UGUGGCUCAGUGGUAGAGUGCUUACCUAGCAUGUGUGAGGCACUGGGUUCAAUUCUCAGCA
rnacentral:tRNA from 1 species